ACAUUCAAUUGUCAAUGAUUUCUUUGUACAAAGCCAUUUGCUAAAAUCCCACCACCUCCCCUCCCACCAACUGCCCAAAAGAGGAAGUUUGUUGAAAACACCGGGACUGUGAAUACGGCUAAGUUGAAGGCCUGAGAUAAGGAUGAGCUGCAGAGUUUGUACGGCAAAAAAUCUUUUGUUUUUCUCGGCUGUGGAGAGACGCUGCGGGAUCAGAUUUUCCAGGCUCUUUUCCUCUACACUGUACAGAAUAAAGUCAGUAUGGAACAUUACAUGCUGGUACGAAAGGAGAAUUCAGAAUCCUUCUAUAAGCUUCAGGCCGAUAUGCUGCUUAAUGGUAUCAAGCUAAUGUCCUAUGGAGAUUCGUUCACUAACUUUCCAUCAUAUAUAAAAGGGCUGUCUGCACUCAUAUGCAAAGAGAAGACUGAAGAGAAACCGGACACUAAAUACUAAAUCGACACCGGAUACUAGAUCAAUAAAGGGCUUCCCAAUUCUUAAAUGCCUGUGUCCAACCAAAGUGCCAUUUUGUACCAAACUCAAUGGAUGUGACGACGAGUAGUUUCCAUUUUUUUGAGGACUGGAUGAGUAUUGGGAUAUGUUUAUGCUCUAUCUCUCUGUGGGAACAACAUGUAUCACUUUCAGAAACAAAUAUCCAUACACUGACAGUACAGGUUAAUGAGCAGAAAGAAAACUGAGCCUGUCUACCAUGGGAGGACAUUUAAACAGAUUUAUUUAUUUUCGUUUCCUAUGGCUGUACAACACUGUGACAUGCUUCUAUGGAAGGGGACCCCAACGGAAAUACAGCUUUCAGAAUCCAUUCUAACGGAUUGUAAGCAGCUUUUUAAAAUGGGACAAUGGUAACUUUUUCUGGGUCUUUUACAGAACACAUGACUGAAA